rfam:Erinaceus europaeus unplaced genomic scaffold scaffold00662, whole genome shotgun sequence
GUGCUUGCUUCAAUGGCACAUAUACUAAAAUUGGAACAAUACUGAAAAGAUUAGCAUGGCCUUUGCAAAAUAUGUGGGCACUAGACAAGAAUAGUAGAACCACUCAUGG